CAGUAUUUACCCGAUAAAACUGUCGGUACACCGACAACUGUCAGACCCUAUAAUAGCAAGAAAAGGCUACUGUAAGAGCAUGGAUGAGAUAUUUGAAAAAUGUAUAAAAAUAUUUCAAGUAUAGAAUAUGAACUAAAAGUAUGAUCACUGCGAUUAUGUGAUGACGUGAUUAGACUAUGUGCUGACUGUAAUAGACAGUACUAUGUGUUAUGAUAUAUUGUUCUAAUCGAACGAAUGAUCUGAUUAUUGAUAGGUUGUGAUAAAGAGAUAAAACCUAAGUUGAGAUUUGUAAUCAGCGAAUCAGGCAAGUAUCCUACCUUUGCACUUCCUUUAUGCAAUGGACAUGAG
rnacentral:lncRNA from 1 species